GUCCUAGCUGUAAACGGUGCGCACUUGCUGUAAGAGGAUUCGAACCCUUUUGUGGCGAAGUUAACACGUUAAGUGCGCCGCCUGGGGAGUACGGUCGCAAGACUAAAACUCAAAGAAAUUGACGGGGCCUGCACAAGCGGUGGAGUAUGUGGCUUAAUUCGAUGCAACGCGAAGAACCUUACCUAGCCUUGACAUGUAUCUAGUAGAAGCCUGAAAGGGUGACGAGGUAGCAAUACCAGGAUACACAGGUGCUGCAUGGCUGUCGU
rnacentral:rRNA from 1 species